GCAAUUGAUUUUUUUUGUCAUGCAAAUGGAAUGUUGCCUACAGCUGGGAAAAACCCAACUUUCGGGAUAUUCUGGAAAAGUUUUUCUGACUUCUACAGCUUUUAAAAAUAAUUGGAAAGGAAAGACAUGCUGGGAAGAUGAGAAGGAAAGUUGUCUAUAUCAGAGGCCAGCUGAAAUGCAUGAAGCACUGCCUGGGGAUGGAAGAUGAGCUAGCUGAGAACUUAAUGGAAGCAGGUCUGGAAAUAAAAGUGAAGGAACUGAACAGAAAAAAAUGGUGAUUGGAUUUAAUGGACUUUGCAUUUGUAAGAGACUAUUCUUUUAUAUGAUUGACUCAAAGUUUGCUGAGGAACAAGUCCAGGCAAGUCCUGGGCAAAGGUAGAGAAAUCUUUUGUCUUGAGGACACUGAUGGACAGGUUCUGGCUAAGGACUGUGAAAUCCUCUAAGGAUCACAGAUGGACAAGGCCAGGGGCAACGAGAGAGAGAUAAGCUGCUGCUAAUGGCCGGGAAAUGGUCUUUUUGUGUGGACUUAUCUCGAGGAAGAUGGCCAUCUCAGGAGGUAUGCACCCAGGGAUGUCAUGUAGGCAGGAGAAAAUGGAGGAUAAAAGAGGGUUCAACAACCACGGCAAUGUAGAGGCUUAUCUCUCACCACGACAGACUUGAGGGGUUCUCUGCCAUCUGGUCCUUCACCACAACAGUGGAGGCUGAUCUCUCACCGCAACACAGAGGCUGAUCUCUCAUGAUCUCUCACCACGACACGAGCUUUUUGCCUUCAGAUCCUUCUCUACGGACCGUUUGCUGAUGGACUUCCCUGGGCAUGCUACCUGAGACCUGCUGCUUCCUCCCUGACCUGCACCCUCUCGUUGCCCAAGACCGGCCUCGCUGCUCCUGCCCUUUGGCCUCGGACCGUCGGAACAUCGUGUAACGGGACUGCUGCCGGAUCCUGGUGGUGACUAUCCCCGCUUUACUCAAUUCUUGCCUCUUUCUAUCUUUUCUAUCUCUUGCCUUCCCUUCCCCAUCACCCCAAUUCUUAAUAGUGUCCGUCCUCCCCUUUCUUAAUCUCCCUUAUUAACAUUUGUAAUAAACUGGUCG
ensembl:lncRNA